GCUUCUUUGGCAGAUAGUAUGCGCUAGAUUUAGGAUCUAGGGAGAUAGAAUAUUCUAUAGGUAGCA
rnacentral:tRNA from 1 species